rnacentral:lncRNA from 1 species
GUCGGCUCAAUAGAUCAGUGUUGUCCCCAAGGCCCUAGGCUCUUUCGGUCCUUCUGCUCUGCCAUCUUUAGUGUGUCAGUGAUCGUUCCCCUCGUGUUCAAGAGACGGCUGCCACAGCACCAAACAGCGUGGGUCAGGGAGCCAGUGGAUGAAGGCAGAUGGGCCUUCUCUUCAAGGGUCUCUCUUAUCAGAGAGGAAAAUCUUUCUCGGAAGCUUCUGGCAGGUUUCCUCUUCAGCAUCCUUGGCCAGAAUUAGGUCACACGCUUUCCUGUAGACCCUGUAAACCAGUCACUGACAACAGGAAUGCAGGGUUUAGAUCAACGCAGCGCAUCUGCUGGGAUUUCGCACUUCGGGACUGGAACAAAAUCAGGAUUUUUCGUUGUCGUCACUGUUGUUAGCAAGGAUGAAGAGGGAAAUGGCUGUUGGAUGGGCAACCAGGUCUGCCUGCCUCCAGAGCAGUUUGCUAUUCCAUUACUUGCUUUAGCCUGGAACUUGCUAUGAGGCAGAGCUACCAUAGAUCAUAUCAAAGGGAUUUAUUACUGAAAGUGUCAGAAAAACUGCUUUCUAACAGUGACUAAUACAUAACGAAGUCUCAAAGCCAGGAAUCUCCGGGCACUGGCGAUCCACGGGUAACGAGAGAGGAUUAGGUGUAAAUUUUGCUAUCGUGCCCUGGAAAAGAGAAACUAGGUGAGAAAAAAUACACAAAGAAACAUCUUAAGGAAAGCAAAUGUUGAUAAUCUUUUUUUUUGCAGACAUCCUCAGUCUUUUCAUUUUGUACUUUCCCCCCGAUUGACAUUCCAGAAAUGGCCGAUUUCUCUCAAAUGCUGUAUACUGGAAGAAUCCAAAGGAUUCAUCAGAUGGACACAUUUCAAAGAACCACUACCAAUUUUUUUUUCUUAAGAAGUGCAUCAAGCCUCUGAUUUGCUGCUGACAAAUUGUCUUAUGUGGUACAUCCCAGGCUCAGCAUGGAGGUCAUAAAGAUGAGUUUGAAAUGCCUCAAAGAGUGCAGCGCCUCAUGGGAGAGUCAGACAGAGAGGCAGCCAAGUCUAAAGCCAGUUUUUGUCUCUCUGCUCUGCCCCUCUCUCCCCGCUUUCCCCAGCCCUCCUCACCCUGGCCCCUCUCCCGUCUCCCCCUCCUUGCUUAGGUAUCUGCCCAGAGGACACCAUUUCUUCUCAGACGUGAUGACCAGGAAGAAUGUUUUUCAGUUAUCAUAAAGAUCGUGAGUUUCUGCUUUGCUCCAGUGACCACAUGAUGACUUUCUUUCCCAGCUUGUCAUGGAUUGGGUCUGCUUUUUCAAGCAUUUUAUAAUAAUUAUUUGGCUUUUUACCCUUCUGAAUUCUCUCUGGAAUUAAUAAAGUUAAAAAAAAUGACUUUGUUUUCUUCUUCUAAG